GACGAACGCUGGCGGCGUGCUUAACACAUGCAAGUCGAACGGAAAGGCCCUGCUUUUGUGGGGUGCUCGAGUGGCGAACGGGUGAGUAACACGUGAGUAACCUGCCCUUGACUUUGGGAUAACUUCAGGAAACUGGGGCCAAUACCGGAUAGGAGCUCCUGCUGCUUGGGGGGGGUUGGAAAGUUUCGGCGGUUGGGGAUGGACUCGCGGCUUAUGAGCUUGAUGGUGGGGUAGUGGCUUACCAAGGCUGUGCCGGGUAGCCGGCCUGGUAGGGUGACCGGCCACAUUGGAACGGGGAUACGGCCCAGACUCCUACGGGAGGCAGCAGUGGGGAAUAGUGCACUAUGGGCUGAGGCCAGAUGCAGCAACGCCGCGUGCGGGAUGAGGGCCUUCGGUUUGUAAACCGCUUUCGCCUGUGACGAAGCGUGAGUGACGGUAAUGGGUAAAGAAGCACCGGCUAACUACGUG
rnacentral:rRNA from 1 species